rnacentral:lncRNA from 1 species
GCAAUACCAAUUUGGGAGGCACAUAUUUCCCCGAAUAAAUCUACUCUUCUUUACUUUUCCUUAUUUUAUUUUAUUUAUUGAUACAAACAAUUUGUGUUCGUAUAAAGAAUCUACUGAAUUAAUAUUUAUGUUUAAACCCAAUUAUGUGGAAUUAACAAUAAAAGCAACAAAUCGUUAUUUAUCAUAUCAAAAGUAAUAAAUAAUUACCAAAAUUGAUAAUAGAAGAAUAUCCCAACUCAGGAUAAAAAAAAAAAAAAAAAAAAAAACAUCGUGACAAAUUUUUCAGGAAACAAUUCACCAGAGAAGUGAACUUACAAUUAGUCUAGACAUUACUAAACCUUAGUCGACUCUGACCACAGAACUUGUAUGUCACCAAGGAAUUCAUUUGAUUGUGCAAGCAUACACUUCUCAGGACUCUAGGUUACCUUUCUCUCCAUUGGAUCACCACGAAUUAACUUCAUUAUUCACUAGAAUGUUGUUCCACAUUGCUGGAACUCCAAGCGUUUCUUUCCUAACUUUAGAAAUUUGAAGGCUUAUUAGAGAAUUUGGGAUUGUUGGUUUGGUGUUUGAUCAAAUAUCUUUCUGUGUUUUGAUCAUUGAGGAAAGAAAUAUCAGAAUAUGUAUUUGUAUUUCAAAGUAUGUUCUCUUGACUUAAUUCAAGGCCCAACUAAUGUUGGAACAAUGUUUGGAAUGAAGAUAUGAAUAUUAUGUUGAAUCUAUGAAUCAAAGGAAUCUAUUUAUGAUCUUCAAUAAUAAUAUUUCUAAGGAAAAAUAAUGAUUUAACACAUCUUAGGACAUUCCAUGGCUAUAUAUUUAUAGUGGAAUGUUUAGGAUGAAAAGGGGUUCAAAAAUCAUAGUUUUAUGUGAAGACAACUUGAAAAUCAAAUUGUCGAUUGAGUUCGUGGGCGCAGCAAGCAAAUGAUCCUUGAGCAGCGAGCGGUAUUUUAGUCAUAAUUUUCUUUCUUGAUAUCCGAUUGAAAUGAUUCAAAAUACAUUGGGAGCUAAGUCACAUGUCUGCAAUUCUUCUAGAAGUACCAUUUUUCAAUUUCGAAUGUUUAUAUGUGAAAAUGCAUUGCAACAUGUAGCUGAGAACUUGAAGCAAAACUUGUGUAAUACUUUGACAAUCCUUUGACUUGUAAUUACAUCCCAUUGAUCUUAUAUAAUCUUUUUGGACAUCUUUGUCUCUUUCAAAAGACUCUAUCAAUCCCAAAAAAAUUUACCAUAAAUUGGACUCAAUAUAUCUUUUUUUUUUCUUUUUUUUUUACUUUGAUUAUAACUCGAUAAACUCAUAAUAUAAUUCAACAAGAACAUGAUUUUGACUAAGGAAAUUGCCAAUUACAAAUUUGGACCUAACAAUCUCCCUCUUUCAAAUUCGAAUUAACAAAAAAAAUCUGUACAAAGACUUAAUGUCCAAAAUUUAUUUCAACCAUCUUGUCAACCUAUUUCCUAAAACACAUACAAAACGACAAUGCUAUGUGAGAAGCAAAAGGAAAUUGACAAGUAAUAAAGUAGAACUAGCAAAUCAAAACAUAAUAUUGAUAUUAGACAAAACACCAAAUCAAACAUAAUAUCAAAUAAAAAAAUUGCUAGCUUCUCUCCCUGACUCAUAUCCAAUCAUCAAAUCAAAUAAAGUCAAAAAUUUCUUCUUCGAACUCAAAUAAUCAAGUCUCUGAAAUAAAUCUCUCCAUUUGAGUUUACUUUCAAAUACAUUUUGAAUCACCUCAAUUGAACAUUGAGAGAAAAAUUUAUCAUAUAAAAUAUUGAUCUUGGCUCAAGCACUGCUAGCUAGCUAAGAGCCUAUGCGAUUGAGUGGAGAUUUGAUUUCAGGUUGCCCAAUUCAUGUAAGACAGUUACUUUUGAACCCCUUCUCACCAAAAAAUCUUCCAUUAUAAAUAUGCAAGUCGUGGAAUGUCCCAAGGUUUGUGGAAUCAUUAUUUUGACUUGGAGAUCUUGUUAUCGAAAAUCAUAAACACAUUUCUUUAAUUUUUAGAUUCAACACAAUAUUCAUAUAUUCAUCCAAAACAUUGUUCUAACAUUGGUUGAGCCUUGAAUUUAGUUAAUAGAACAUACUUUGAAAUUCAAAUCAAUAUUCUAGUAUCACUUGCCUCAAUCAAUAGAUCAAAAUAUAAAAAGAUCUUUGAUCCAACAUUAAAAUAAAAAACCCUACCUUCGCCAAUAAACCUUUAGAGUUUUGAAGUUUUGAAAGAGGCGGUUGGAGUUCUGGAGCUGCAGAACGAUGUUCCAAUGAAGAAAGAGAUUCGCUGUUGGCGAUCUAGUGGAGAGAAAAGUGGGUCAAAGUUCUGGAAAGUGUGGACAUGUACAACCAAAGGUGUUCCUUGGUGAUUUUAUAAAUUAGGUGGUCAAAAUCAAUUAAAGUUUAGUAAUAUUUGGACUAAUUGUAAGGAAACUUUUCUAGCGAAUUGUUUGCUGGAAAGUUUGCCAGAAGAUUUUUUACGUAAGUUGAAAAUCCCCCCCCCCCCCCCCCCCCCCGAUCCAUAUCUUCAAUUGGAUUAAAGACUAAAAGAGAUGGGACUUGCACAUGGAUCGAAUGAAAUUUUAGGCUGUCAUCAAUUUCUUUUGGACUCUUCAAAUUUCAACAACCUAAAUGCUUCACAAUGAUAAAUACAUAUCAACUUUUUAACUAAUAUAAUCUUAGCUGUUGUUUUAGACAAAAAGAAAAAAUUUUAGUAACAUGGUGUAAAUAUCUAUGCCCAAAAUUAGCAUUCCUAUUGACCCCCUUUUUUGCAAUGGCAAUGUAGAUAAUGGAUCUUAGGCCUUCUCGUGUUCGCUUGAACAAAUUUCAGCAUAUUUCAAUUGAAAUAAUCAAUCGGAGGGUCAAUGGACGUGAUAGAUGCUCUAUAACACGAGACGAACACGUUCGAGCAUCGAUGGUGUGAUCGAGAACAAUUGAAAAUAAAUAGUCGCAAACCGUCUCACCAAAAUCGAAAUGAUUUGAGCUCAAGUAUGUAAAUGUGGAAUGAACAAGAGAGGUUUUACUGAGAAUUCAAGAGUGUAAUCUUACAUAUAUUAUUUCCAAUCCCUUGUAAGGUUACGAGAAUUGCUAUUAAUAAAAUCUGGGCCAACAUGAUUACCGUUGGAUCAAAACCACAUAGCCUCGUCCUGUUAACUAGAGCCUUACAUCUUUCUGUCCCAAAUUAAUUAUAUUGACAGGUGGUCAACCGACCUACAUAAUACAAUGAUAUUUCUGACAUCCAUUAAUACAAAUGUUAUAUUAAUCAUUCCUAUAGAAACUCUACAGAUUUUCAUUGAAGGCAGCAAGCACUUAGAUCUAGAGAGAGGACUUCGAUAGGGAAUGAAAAAUACUUUAGCUGGUAGAGGUUCUACCAAAGACAGUGCCUCGGCUAGAGAAGUAGUGUUUCUGCCAAAAAAUGAUCGUCUUUUUCAUUUGUCCUUAUUUUGACUUUGUUGACUACUAGAUGUCUUGCACACACUGCCUUAGUGUAGCUUUCACUGGAGUUUCAAAUAUGAGACAUAACAAUAGUCUCCCAAGUCCAUAUAUGAUCAUUAAUGUAGUACAUGGACUUUCGUGUUAUAUUGAAAUAAAAAUUUAAAAAUUUUUGUGGGGGUGAUUAUUUUUAAUCCCAUAAUAAUAGUUUCCCAAGUCUAAUUGUAAAUAUUUAUAUAUAAAAAUUAGAAUUUGAAAGUAAAAUAUAUGACUAAAUAUUCGAAAUACUUAUUGAGAUCACGUGCUAAAGUUGUAUGUUGGGCUUCCUAUUUUUUCAACAUUUAAGCGAAAUUGAGGUACAUUGCUGCUUGCCAUUCUCUCAUUUUUUUAAAGGUCCAGCCAAAGCUGUGAAUGUGGAAGCUGAAAUGGGGAGUUUCAUCAAAUUCACCGAAGCCGUAGGCUAUCAUUCUGAGGAGGCAAGUAUGGGUGUGAUGAAUACAAGGCGUCCUGAAUUAUAGCUCCCAAAUGAUUUGCUGUUUUUGCAAAUUUUCAAGAAAUGACAGGUGAGGUGCUUCACUUUCCAAUACACACAACUGUUGCUGUAUUUAAUGAGCAAUGAUGGCUAUCAUAGGCUUGUUCUAUGGGAUUGAAACUCCAUAUAGUGCGUGUUGUAGACAUUCUUACUGAUCCCCAGAUGAAGAAACAACAGAUGUGAUGGGCGAUUUAGAAAGAAUUUUGAAUGAAUGGCUGGAUGGUUCGAAUCAUCAUUUAAUGGCUAGGAUCGAACGCCUCUAGCUAUAUCUUGGGUGAAGAAUCACUUUUGCCUUUGCAAAUCGUAGCACUCUAAUCAUUUCAUUACUUUCUCCCUUUUGCUCCAAUCAUCCUUCCUUUCAAUCAUUCUUCACACUUUUAGUUGUUUUCCUCCGAUGUUGUGUUUAAUGUCGUAAUUAUUUGAAUCUUUUCAUGAAUUUUGGAUCUAAUGUCUUCUUUACCAUCUGGGGAGAACUUAGACAUUAGCCAUGUAGCCUCUAAAAUGGGGGUCACCAUAACUAACACAACUGACUUUACCUAAGCCAUUAAGGCUAGGUAGAAUAUCUUACCUUCAAGGAAGUCUAGGUUAGAAGAGAUAGGUUGGCGGCUACAAAAAUCCCUUCUAUAGUAUCUACAUCCCACUUAACAUAUUUAAGAGAAAAUUAAUGUAUCCUUUAUGACAUUGAACUCUCAGCUCCCCUUACCGAUGAACGAGCCUGCUUUCCCAAGUAAGGACACGUCACCAUUAGUGAGUAUCUUUUAAAAGUAGGGCUUUCUUUAUCACUUCAUCCUUUCUUUAUAGGCAUACUUAGGUUGUAUGGACUGGCUCCCACCUAGCUCAUCCCCAAUGCUUGGCCAGUUAGUAUGAACCUAUUUUUUUGUGGAAGGAGACCUCAUUUUGCAAGUAUAUGCCUCUCCACAUUUUUCAAACCAUUUUUCAACCCGGGGUUUUGGAAAAGGGAGAUUCUAAGGGUUGGUAUUCCUUAUGUCCACGGGGUUCAUACUCCCUCUUCGUCAUAUGACUUCCUUCCUUUAUCAAAGGAUGACACAAUUUCCAAUGUGACAAUUCCUACCUCCUACUCAGAAACUCAUGAGUGUUGUUCCUUAAUUAGAUUGUCGACCUAGAUAUUGAUUUGGUUUUGAUUCUAACCUUCUUUGUUUUGCAAGAUCAGUUGAUUGCUUCGGUCAUUCAACCAGAGUUAGAGGUUGUUGAGGACAUCGACCUACACAUAUUGUCUUCAAGAAAGUUUGAAAGGUUGAUUGUUUCUCAUCUAUUCUUUGAGGAAUGAUUGAUUGCUAGAAGAAGUAAUUACACUUUGUCAAAAUUUUCAUGUCAUUGGUUUGCAAAAUUUAUGACCUUCUUUUAUCUUUUUGUAGAAUAUUUUGAAAAGAAGGGCAUCCCACCUUGGAUAUGGCUAUCAUCUUUACUAUCACAUCCAAUGCUAGAAGGAAGGGAUUUAAGUCCUCAUCUAUUGUAGUGACGUAGUUGAGGACCAAAUUGAGAAGGAAAAAGGCCACUGGCCAUGAAGGAGAUAGACGACCUCCUAUGAAGGAUAAAGGAAAAAAAUACGAUAGAGGAAGUCCUCGAGAAAAAAAAAUUCUCUACCAUCGAAGAGGGUGUCCAUGGUUAGCUCCCAUCUCGCUUCAAAAUCCCUAUGGAUCAUGUAUAUUUAGUAAAAUAGAUCUCAAAAUAAGAAAUCACCAAAUUAGGAUGAAAGAAUGAGGUGAAUGGAAAAGAGCUUUUAAGACUAAAUAUGGACUGUAUGAGGGGUUAGUUAUACCAUUUGGACUUACUAAUGCACUAGCACUUUGAUGAGAUCAAUGACCAUGUUUUACGUGCAUUCAUAGGUAAAUUCGUAGUAGUUCACUUUGAUGGCAUUCUAGUAUAUAGUAAUAACUUACAUGAGCGUAUAGAGCAUUUAAGGUGAAUGCUUGUUGUCUUGAAGUAGGAAUGAGUUUAUGUUAAUUUUAAAAAGUGUACAUUUGGUAUGAAAAAAAUUGUUUUUCUUGGUUAUGUUGUUAGUGCAAAAGGUAUUGAAACGGAUGAAGAGAAAAUCAAAGACAUAAAAAAGUGGUCAAUACCUAAAAGCAUAACUGAGUUAAGAAGCUUUCAUGGUUUAGCUAGCUUUUAUAGUCAUUUCGUGAAAAAUUGUAGCACACUUGCUACACUGCUCAUUGAGAAUAUGGAAAAGAGUGUAGAAUUCCAUUGAACAUUGAAUAAGAACAUACAUUUCAUACUAUUAAGGAUAUGUUGUGUUCUGCACUUGAUUUAGCACUACCUAACUUUAACAAAAUUUUUUAGAUUGAAUGUGAUGCUCAUGUAUAGAAAUUACAACUAUUUUAGUAUAGGAUAGAAGACAAUAGCUUAUUUCAGUAAAAAGCUAACCGGGCCAGUUUUGAAUAAUCCUACAUAUGACAAAGAACUUUAUAAACUUGUUCGAGUUUUGGAGAUAUGGCAACACUACCUAUGGCCUAAAGAGUUUAUCAUCCACAUCGAUCAUGACUAAUUGAAACAAAAGGGGUAAUUAAACAAGAGGCAUGUGAAAGUGGCUAGAGUUUAUUGAGAUAUUUCCCUAUGUCAUUGGAUAUAAAUAAGGUAAAGGUAACAUAGUAGUUUAUGCAUUGUCAAGGAGGUAUGUACUUCUUACUUUAAGUGCAAAGAUGCUUAGGUUUAAGUAUUUUAAGCACAUGUAUGUUAAUGAUCUAGAUUUUUGUAACAUAUAAAGCGCAAUCGAUAAAAUUUAUAAACAUGGUGGAUAUUUUUUUAAGGAAAAUAAUUUGUGCUUCCUAAUUGUUUUAUGCAUUAAUUAUUAGUACGUGAUGUACAUAGUGGAGGUUUAAUGGGAUAUUUUGGCAUUAAGAAGACCUUAGAGAUGUUACAUGAACAUUUUUAUUUGCCUAAAAUGAAAUUAAGUGUUGAUCACAUUUGUAGUAGAUGUAUUACAUGUAAAAAGGCAAAGUCUAAGGUAUUACUACAUGGUUUGUAUAUACAUUUACCUGUUCCUAGUGAGCCUUGGGUUGAUAUGUCUAUAGACUCUGUGUUAAGAUUGCCUAGAAAUAAAAGGGAUAGAGAUUCCAUAUUUGUGGUAAUGACUAGAUUUAGUAAGAUAGCAAAUUUCAUUCCUUGUCAUAAAAUAGAUGAUGCCAUGAACAUAGCUAACUUAUUCUUUAGAGAAAUAGUACGAUUCCAUAGAAUAUCUAAGAGUAUUGUGUUUGAUAGCGAUGUUAAGUUACUUAAUCAUUUUUGAAAGGUAUUGUGGAGGUAACUUUGAACCAAACAAUUAUUUUCUACAUCUUGUCAUCUACAAACAAAUGGAUAGAUUAAAGUAUUUAAUAGAACAUUACACAACUUUUGCUCAACAUAAUAAUAAGAACUUGAAAAGUUGGAAGGAUUACUUAUCAUUUAUAGAGUUUGCACAUCACAAGUUAAGGAUGUAAACAAGCUGAGUUGAGUAGGCAUGGGCACGGCCCAGGCAAAAAAAAAUGGCACGAGUUUUUUUGGCCUGAGCUAAAGCUCAAAUGAAAAAUCGAAACAUGACUUGGGCUUUAGGCUCGAGCCUUAUCCAGCUAAGUAAGGCCAAGACUUGUUGGCUCCUCUUUUUUAUGGUAUUUCCAGGCAGUCGCCUUCUGGUAGCUACCGUCUGCCUGAGAUUGUAGUUGUUAGUUAUCUACUUUUCAAGUUGCUACCUGAAGCUACAUGUUGUGACAGGGGCCAUUUGGCCUGUGUCAUGGGGCCAUUUUAGCCUGCUUAACGGGCUGGCUCAAGCUUAGUUCCGUUGAGCCAUGAGUCAGGGUAGCUCAAGCCUUCAAGGGACCAAGCCAUAGAUCGUUUGAGCCGCAAGCCGAAUUAACAUCCCUAUAAUAAGGCUACACAUUUUAUUACUUCUUAUACCCCUUUGAAACUUUAUAUGGUCUUAAUCUAUUAACUCGUUUGAAUUUAAUCUCUUUACCUUCUAAUAAAAGAUGCGGUCUAGAUAGAAAGAAACAUAUCAAAUUGGUAAGGUCAAUCCAUGAGAAGGUACGAUGUCAAAUUGAGAAGAAGAGUAAUCAUUAUUAUUCUUAAGCUAAUAAAGAGCGGAGGCGUGUUACAUUUAAACUAGUUGAUUGGGUUUGGUUACAUAUGAGAAAGAGUGUUUUCCAGCUCGAACGAGGUUAAAAUUGCAAUCUAGUGAGAUCGUUCUAAGUGCUUGAAAAGAUCAAUGACUUUGCCCAUAAAUUGAAUCUUCGAUGUGAGUAUAACAUUCCUACUACUUUCAAUGUUUCUGAUCUUUCUCUAUUUGAUGAAGUGGAGAUUUGAAAGCGAAUCCUUUUGAAGAUGAAGGAAAUAAUGAGAACCAUGGGACGAAGGCUAGUAAGGAUCCAUUGAUUGUCAAAAAAGGACCAAUGAUGAAAUUUUGAGCGAAAAAGAUCAAGGAAGCCAUAGGAUUACUUGUUCAAGUCACAUACACCGAGACUUCAAUGUGACUAGCAAAACAUCAAGUUUCAUGCUGGGCAUGGAAAAUGAACCAAGAUAGGUGCAAUUGAUUCAAGCAAAGUAAAAUGAAGAGUUGAUGUUAACCAUGCGGCCACAUGGAGCAAUUGAGCUUGCGAUCGCACUCUACACCGAAAAUCAACCCAAGACGAUACAAUGCCCUACAAUGUGGCCACAAUUGUUUAAAACCUGGAUGCACUUUCAAGAGUUCUAUUUUAAGUCUAAUUCUUUUGUUUCGGUAAUUUUUAGAUUAUUUCAAAAUUGUUUAAAGUUUUUAUAAGUUUCAUAUAUGUAAG